GACGAACGCUGGCGGCGUGCUUAACACAUGCAAGUCGAGCGAAGCGGCGGACGGGUGAGUAACACGUGAGUAACCUGCCUUAGACAUUGGGAUAGCCUCGGGAAACCGGGAUUAAUACCAAAUGAGCUAAUAUGGACUCGCGUCCCAGUAGCUAGUUGGUGAGGUAACGGCCCACCAAGGCGACGAUGGGUAGCCGGCCUUAGAGUGUGAACGGCCACAUUGGAACUGAGAACAGGUCCAAGCUCUACGGGAGGCAGCAGUGGGGAAUAUUGCACAAUGGAGGGAACUCUGAUGCAGCGACGCCGCGUGAACGAAGAAGGCUUUCGAGUCGUAAAGUUCUUUUAUAUGGGAAGCGGUACCAUAAGAAAAAGCCCCGGCUAACGACGUGCCAGCCGCCGCGGUAAUAC
rnacentral:rRNA from 1 species